GUGCCAGCCGCCGCGGUAAUACGUAGGCAGCAAGCGUUGUUCGGAGUUACUGGGCGUAAAGAGUGUGUAGGCGGUUUUCCAAGUCUGGUGUGAAAUCUCCCGGCUUAACUGGGAGGGUGCGCCGGAAACUGGAAGGCUUGAGUGUGGGAGAGGGAAGUGGAAUUCCUGGUGUAGCGGUGAAAUGCGUAGAUAUCAGGAGGAACACCGGCGGUGUAGACGGCUUCCUGGACCACUACUGACGCUGAAACACGAAAGCGUGGGGAGCAAACAGGAUUAGAAACCCUGGUAGUCC
rnacentral:rRNA from 1 species